AGUCGCUCAUCCCAUUUGUCAGUUUGUGAAUUUGUUUUAGUUACGUGCGUGUCAUUUGCUAGGCGGUUGCGUAUUUUUUGAAAAGGUGUUGUUAGAAUAAUUAAAAAGGUUUUGUUUUAGUUCUGUGUGUAUUAUAUUAUUGUCGGUUGUGUUUUUUAAAGGAGUUGUGAGAACAAUUUUAAGCUCCUAGACAAGACGUACGCAAUACAUAAAUUGUUAUGACUUCGGCGGUCGAUUUAUUACCAAACAUUCCCCGUUAUGUUUGUUUUGACGUGUGUGUGUUCUAUUUUUUUCGUUUUGUUUUCCCGAAUAAUUAGUGGGAAAGAUUACACUGUAUCGAAAAAAUGGUAUCAAAAGUAGAGGGUACUAGUAAAAAUGUACAGGACAAAAAGUAACAUAUAAGCAUUGUGUAUUUGUUAAAAUAAUUUAAAAUGUUGCUCAACAGAAAAUAGUGUUCAUUAUUAAAUCAAUCUAAUCCAUCGCCAUUGCGAAAUUAAUUGUACACAAAACCUCUUGUCUUCGAUAACCUGCUUUACAAACGUUCUGUAAAAUUUGGAAGAAACGAAUAAUACAGAUGACGAUAGUUGAGCUCUUCAACUGCAGAUAUAAAGUUUGAUUUCUGUGACAACAAAAGGGUAGCUGAAUUUGGACUAUCUUUACCAAGUAACAGCACUUGUAACUCGUGUGAUCUGAUCCGAUCUGAGCUGCAGCUAAGGGCUACAUCCAAAUCUGAACCAAUUUUUGGCGCCAUUAGAACAUUUUAUCAGCGAACUGAAAAACCAUAACGAGAAUUUUUACAAAAGAUGAAGAGAUGAAAUACAGUACCGAAUCAACGCAUUCCAAGGAAUUGCUGUGGCCUAACUAAUAAAUUAUACUACAUUCUUUAUAUAUUAAAAUUGUUAAAUCGAAGAAUAAAUAAAACUACAAGAAAAUGAUAAUAA